rnacentral:rRNA from 1 species
UACGUAGGGUGCGAGCGUUGCCCGGAUUUAUUGGGCGUAAAGGGCGCGUAGGCGGUCACGCACGUCCGUUGUGAAAUCGCUCGGCUCAACUGGGCGGGGUCAGCGGAUACGGCGUGGCUGGAGCAAGCUAGGGGGCAAUGGAAUUCCCGGUGUAGUGGUGGAAUGCGUAGAUAUCGGGAGGAACACCAGUGGCGAAGGCGGCUCUCUGGACCGGUUCUGACGCUCAG